GACGAACGCUGGCGGCGUGCUUAACACAUGCAAGUCGAACGGAAAGGCCCUGCUUUUGUGGGGUGCUCGAGUGGCGAACGGGUGAGUAACACGUGAGUAACCUGCCCUUGACUUUGGGAUAACUUCAGGAAACUGGGGCUAAUACCGGAUAGGAGCUCCUGCUGCAUGGUGGGGGUUGGAAAGUUUCGGCGGUUGGGGAUGGACUGGCGGCUUAUCAGCUUGUUGGUGGGGUAGUGGCUUACCAAGGCUGUGACGGGUAGCCGGCCUGAGAGGGUGACCGGCCACAUGGGGCCUGAGAGACGCACCAGUCGCGUACGGUACGCAGCAGGAGAGAAUAUUACACAAUAGCCGGAAGCCUGAUGCGGCAACGCCGGGUGCGGGAAGACGGGCUUCGGGGUAUAAACCGCUGUCGCCGGAGAUAUAGCGGGAGUGACGGUAAUGGGUAAAGAAGCACCGGCUAACUACGUG
rnacentral:rRNA from 1 species